UCCAGAGCUGGUUCUGAAAGGGGCGGUUGGAGUUGACGGUUUGGCAGCGGGCGGGUGCCCGGCCGGACAGGUGGCAGCGCGAGCGGAGCCGCACUGAGCUCUGGGCCGCCGGCUGGGAGACUACGCGGCGCUCUCCGGGGGGCGGCAUCGAGGCGCGCAGGGCGGGGAGACCUGCCCCGAGCCUUGCCGGGCCCGUCCGGCCGCUCUCUCGCCCCCUCGCAAGAAACUCGCGGAUCUAGUCACCUUCCAGCCGCCUGCCCCCUCAUGACCCAGAGUCACCGAGAUAGGCCCGCCGCCCCGCGCAUCUACCCUGCCGGAGAGAGGGGAAGGCGGGCGGGAAAGUGCCGGGAAAUCGCACGAGGUGCUUUGGUAACGGGAUGCCUCCCUGGCAAAUAGCCAUCGAGCGAGCCCUCAGGGAAGACCUGUGUUUGUAGAGUGCCUAGCACAACAGGACCCACACCUGGCCAGGACUCUUUGGCACUACCAGAAUAAAUGACUCUUCCCAGGACUUGUUCUAGAGGCAGGUGAAAAGGGCAGUUGUCCUGGAACCCAUCUUCCAGGGGGUGCCAGACUGCUGUGCUGUUCAGCUUUUUUUGCUCUGCUGUGGUUGGUCAGUCACUCGGGAUGGGUGAGAGAGGGGUUUCUGCCCUGGCAGGUGGACUCAUCUUGCUAGGCCUAUCUGUAUCCUCCAAUAAAUUGGACAUGGAA